GGCCCACGAGGGCAAGGCACGCAUCCAAACCUUACUUCAACCUCCAUCGACAUCUCAGUCAUUCGUGUCUAACUAACUGCAACGUCGUUUAAUCUAGUUGAUGGACGCCAACCUUGCCUAGGAAGCACAAUGCAAUCCCUUUCAUGCCAUAGGAUUCUCUAACUUCAACAUUCCCGAAAUAUAUACCACUACCUUACAAUUCCUGCUAGAUCGUGACGCAAUGAACUGGACCGGGGGGCGCUUGCAACGCCACUCUUAUAAAAGCUACAAAUCUCAAAAGGCUGCCCAGAAGCAGUAUUUUGCAAGGGCAAGACUGAAAGCCCAGAAAAGACUCCACCAAGGGCCGUCUUCAUCCACCGCGAGAUCAUUGCUAUCGCAGCGCCUGCCUAAGGAGUUAUCCCACUCACAGGAACGCGAAGGAAUCGACCAUUACAUCGGGAAUGAGAGAAGAGUAGACAAAAACAUC
rnacentral:sRNA from 1 species